GACGGAGGGCGCAAGCGUUAUUCGGAUUCAUUGGGCGUAAAGAGCGUGUAGGCGGCCGGGCAAGUCAGAGGUGAAAGCCCAGGGCUCAACCCUGGAAGUGCCUUUGAAACUGCCUGGCUUGAGUGCGGGAGAGGGAAGUGGAAUUCCUGGUGUAGAGGUGAAAUUCGUAGAUAUCAGGAGGAACACCGGUGGCGAAGGCGACUUCCUGGACCGACACUGACGAUGAGACGCGAAAGCGUGGGGAGCAAACAGG
rnacentral:rRNA from 1 species